ensembl:lncRNA
AUUUAAUUGAGUUCAUUCCCAACUAUGAUUUUCGAUGAAUCUUUAAUCUCAUGUGUCCAAUUUUGCUUUGUCAUUCUCUUAUUUUAGGGAUGGAUAUUUUUAGACUUGAUAUCCAGGAAGGCAGUUUCUUUCUCAUUUAUAUACAGAGUUUUAAAUAUGGUUAACCCUAUACCUCCAGAUGCCAUAUGGAGAGGCCUGUGUGGCAAGGAACAUAGGGUAGCCUCUGACCAACAGCCAGCAAGAAACUGAAGCCCUCUGCCCAACAGCGCUUGAGGAACUGUAUCCUGAUUACAACCAUGAAAGGUCUCUCAGCAGUGGCUGUUCCCUCCUUGGCUGUAACUCCAACUGGGCAGUUCUGCCUCUGUGAUUCAAGUAUUCAUUUGGUGGCUCCAACUCCUGAUAUCUGACUAACAUUGCUAAUCAUGUGUCAAAUUGAAUGAAUUUUAGAAAUGCAACAACUCUUCUGGUGUGUGGUGAUCAAUGUGGUCUUACCUGAAAGUUUGGGUAAGAUGGAAAAAUAUAAUGCCAAAUAUUUUCUACAUUUUAGAGGAGAAAAAGAACAGCAGAGACUCCAACAAGGCACUGAGACAAAAAGUAUGAGCAAAGGCAAAACGACCAGAAAGGUAUGAAUGCAAAAACAAUGAAAAAAAUAAUCCACCGUAAAAAGGAAAUCAGAAGGAGUUUGAGUCAACUCUUUAUAGAGAACUGAAAUGCAGUUCUUGAGUAUUGGUGAACUACAAUGAAGGAGGGAUGGAGAAGAAGACACAAUCACAGACAGGGUGUGCUAUGGGCCAGAUUUCUUUAGGCCCCUCUCUACAAGAUCUGAAUUGGAGAAUAAGUUCUGGGUCUGCCACUUGAUUGCUCAGUGACCUCGGGUGGGAAAAGUCAUUCCAAACAAAAGCAAUAACUUGUCUAAAGGAGUGAGAGAAUAUUCACGAUCUACCAGUCAUUGAAAUGAAGAAUGUUUCUUGAGGAGCUAAAACUGGAAAGUUUCCCUAACUAAAAAGAGUCCAAACCAAAAGAGAUGCAGAACAGAAGCAAAAUACAAGGUCAUAGCUCCAUGUUUGCAGUGUAGAAAGCAUCCUUAAUCCUCUGGGUGACUGCAGAAAUUGUUCCAGGAGUGAACACAGGUUGAAUUCUUCAGGAGCAGUUGCCAGGACAGAGUUUGGAGACACGAUGUUUAUUAGAGAAAAGGAGAGGAAGCAAUUGCGCCGUGAUGCAGGAAGCUGUGGACUUAUAAUCAGUGGGACUCUGCUAUAUCCCUGGGGAAAUUGUGCCCUCUUUUGAGAAUCGAAUGUCUAACCAUGCAGAGCCCAGAGUUGCAGAAAUAGAGAGCACAGAAGACCCCAGUAGAUCAUUGAGAAUAAUGUUUCUGCUGUUUUCAUCUUGGAGCCCGGAGCAUCCAUGUGAGAAGUAUGACCACCCUGCUGCAGAGAUGUGUGGAGAAAAAAAUCUAACUUAUCCAUCAUCAUGGGAUUGAUAUAAGCUCUACUCCAACCUGUUCUAAGUCAAAAGGGGUCAUGUGAAAAGGAAUCAAUCUGAAUUCCUAUUGGUGUGUGUGGUGGGGUGAGGGAAGAAUAUGUAUUAUUGCCAACACCUGGG